UACAGAGGGGGCAAGCGUUAUUCGGAAUCAUUGGGCGUAAAGCGCGCGUAGGUGGCCAUUUAAGUCCGCUGUGAAAGUCAGAGGCUCAACCUUUGAAAGCCGGUGGAUACUGGAUGGCUAGAGUACGGAAGAGGCGAGUGGAAUUCCUGGUGUAGCGGUGGAAUGCGCAGAUAUCAGGAGGAACACCAAUAGCGAAGGCAGCUCGCUGGGACGUUACUGACACUAAGGCGCGAAAGCGUGGGGAGCGAACAGG
rnacentral:rRNA from 1 species